rnacentral:rRNA from 1 species
CCUACGGGAGGCAGCAGUAGGGAAUCUUUCACAAUGGGCGAAAGCCUGAUGGAGCAACGCCGCGUGCAGGAUGAAGGCCUUCGGGUUGUAAACUGCUUUUAUAAGCGAGAAAUAUGAUGGUAACUUAUGAAUAAGGAUCGGCUAACUACGUGCCAGCAGCCGCGGUCAUACGUAGGAUCCGAGCAUUAUCCGGAGUGACUGGGUGUAAAGAGUUGCGUAGGUGGCAUAAUAAGUAGCUAGUGAAAUCUGGUGGCUCAACCAUUCAGACUAUUGGCUAAACUGUUAAGCUCGAGACCGUUAGGGGUAACUGGAAUUUCUAGUGUAGGAGUGAAAUGCGUAGAUAUUAGAAGGAACACCGAUAGCGUAGGCAGGUUACUGGGACGGUUCUGACACUAAGGCACGAAAGCGUAGGGAGCAAACGGGAUUAGAUACCCGUGUAGUC